AUAGACUAUGCAUGCAGUAUACGAAAGAUUAAGUAUGCAUUCUAUGAUAUCAAACAUACAUUGUACCAACUAUGACAACACCCUCAUAUUCAAAUUUCAUGCCACAAAUUAGUUUGAUAGAAACAGAUUCAGUGCAGAAUCAUAACAAAUUUCAUAAAAUAAAAGAAUGUUUGUUAUAUCCUACCACAGAUCCUUCAACCUUCAUAUUUGUGAAAUAAAAAAAAUUAUCGUAUCCUAGCUACUCAUCAUUCAACAACACAUUAACAAUAUUAGCAUUCAACUGUCUCACCUUUUUUUUUUCUACUGCCUUUUCAAUUUUCUUCCUUUUUGAGACAUUUUCAACUGCCUCAACUUUUUUUUCUACUACUACCAACAAAAUCAGAAGCGAUACCAUUUUUGCGUUUAGGAAAGAUACUUUUUUAGCCAUUUUCAACACAAUGUACACCUGCAGAACAAAUCUUUCAUUUUCAGUUCAUAGACCACAAGUCUAUCAACAGAAAUAACUAAAUGCUCAAAUGAAGCCACACCCCCCCCCAAAAAAAACAAAAAAAAAAAAAAAAAAAAAAAAAAAAAAAAAUUCUCCUUUAAAGUCCCUAUACUUAACCAUUUUCAACCAACUAAUUCACCUCCCAAACCAUAUUCAAAACAAGAAAAUCCUCUUUAAAGUCCCUACACUUAAUCAUUUUCAAGCAACUAAGUCACCUACCAAACCACAUUCAAAACAAAAAAAAUUCUCCUUUAAAGUCCCUAUACUUAACCAUUUUCAACCAACUAAUUCACCUCCCAAACCAUAUUCAAAAAGAAACAGGUUACUGUUUAGAUCAAAAUGUCAAAAUAACUCUUCAAAUAGCAAUUAUCCCACCAUUCAACACUUCCUUGCUAAAACAAACCAGAACUCGUAAACAAAAGUUCCAAAAUUCAACACUGUGAUCGACGAAAAAAUUUGUCAAAAAUACCGCAUAAAACUUCAACCAUUGCUUCAAAAUCAAACUCAUUACCUAUAAAAUUCUUUUUUUUUAACUACUUAAUCAACCAAAUUCAAAAGAAAAAAAAAUUUCCUUCAUCGCUACAAAUCGAUUAGCAAAGAAAACCAUUUAAAUGGAUCUAGAAAUGAUCGAAACUUGAUUUUAACUAACCUUGCUAAGCAACAGCGAGCCCUUAGCAGCUAGAGAAGAAGAAGAAACGAAAAUGGUGUUUUUGGGAGAAGAAGUUUCAAAAGCGGGAGUUGAGAAUUGAAGAAGAGAGAGGAGAGUUCUUUUUUUAUAUUGGAAUAAGUGGAGAGUAUUAGGUGUAUUAUAUUAAAGUUGUAAAGUUGUAAAAAUGAUGAAUUGAUUCCUUGGUCCACGUGUGAACCUCACUUUUUUCACUUUUCUCUCUAAAUCUAAAAAAUAAAUAAAAAAGAAAUUAAGUGGCAUUUGACAAAUUAGUUUUAAAAGUUGCCUUUUUUGCCAAUUAUUCCCUAAUAUCUACCUCGUAUAAAUGUGAAACCUCUUGAUUUUUAGGUGAGUCAAGGGAAGAGUUCCACUUUUUAUGUGUGAAAAGGAUUUUUGGAGAAACUUCUACUAGAAAGAUGAGAAAAUUUAUGGAUCAGGAAGCUUCUUGUCAGAGUUUCUAGAUGGCCUGAGAGUAUAAAACAAACCCAGUUGAUUGAGUCUUUCUGGGGGGUGGGGGAGAUUUUGGUAACUAACUCGUGUCAAUGCACUGACUUUGGUAUGUAUAUCAUCCUUGUCCUAGUUGGAUCUAUGUAGCAUGCCUAGAUGAGUAUAUCCCAAUGAAUUCAAAAUGUUCAGAGUACUCGUUAUAGUUUGGCUAUUGUUAGCUAUCAACCCACCGCCAUUCUCCUCCUUUAUCUGGCUUGGAAAUUGACUGAAAGAAGUGUCUGCCUGAGAGUAGGAAAAAAGGAUUAACGUCUUGCAAAGAUGUCAUACGUUAAUGUAGCACCUGUUAACUCGUGGAAGACUGACAAAACCAGAUAAAAACUAACAAAUUUCACAAUAGCUAGCUAGGGGAAAACAUUAAAAUGUCAUAGUAUCCUUUACUUCAAAAUCCUCCCCGUCUUGGUUCCCUAUAAUCUAAUAUCCAAAUUAAAGUGCUGUUGUAAAACCACUAGAAUAACCGACUAGGAUCCAAAUACAAUAUGUUGCACAUCGGUGGGUAUGAGAAAAAGUGAUCUCUUUAUAUGAUCUUGCUCAAGAUCAUGUUUUUAUGGAGGUCCAUCAUUCAGUCCUAAGAAUUGUACAGAAAGCCUAACGUUUCUCAGAAGGUACUAUUGACUUGUCCUCAAGUACGUAAUUCUGUCCACCUAAUCUCAAACACGUUUGCACUUCACAUAAUCAUGCCAGUUUCACUACUUAAUGCAGCCAUUUGGCUUUUUCUUUACGUGUAAAUUCUAAAUGCUUCCUGUUAGUGUUGGUUUUAAUAGAGAUGAGUUAGAAAAGAACGCAGAGAGGUUUUUUUUGUAAAGUUAUAUGUUUUAUUGAUCAUCAACUCUUCCUUAAAUAUUGCUAUUACAACUAAAAAUAGAUUAAACUUAUCAUAAAAUAAAAUCUAUUUACUACAAAAAAUAAUAACUAAUAGAAAUCCCAAUUUAACUAAGAGUUGUAUGUAAAAUAGCUACAUAAAAACAAAAAACAAAUAAUGCGCAUUAUUCGUUAAAGCAACUUUUAACCCUCCUCCUUGCUUUAGGAACUGCAAAAUUUUGGUCUUCUGUCUUGAGAUCUCCACACUUGAUAAUCAAAACUGACCUUAUGAAUAAAUCUGUAGAUUCAUCUUUUGACUUAUAGUAAACUAAAUUCACUUCUCGUCUUGAAUGCAACCCUUGACUAUUAAAUCCUUUUGACAUGUCUUCCAGUUUUGUUUGUAUCUUGAAUUUAAACUUUAUUUUUCUGAAUCAUAGACAACUCCUCCAUUGCUUCAAUUUCUUUAGGAACAUUGAAAUCUCCUUUAAAUCUAAGAGGUUUACAUAUUGCUUGUGCCUUUUCAAUUAGAGGAUCACCUUCUAAUUUUUUCAGCCUAUGAUCUUUUUCAUGUUCUACAGAAAUAACUUUCAUUGGAUCAAAUGAGAAAUGUUUACCUCUUAUCUUAAUGUUUAAAAUUUCUUUUCCAGCACCAUCAUUGAUGAAGCAAUGUUUAUCCUCAAAGGAUACUUUGUAUUCUUUUUCUUCCAACUGACAAAAACUUAACAAGAUUUUAUCAAUAUCAGGUACAUAAAGAACAUCUGAAAUUACUUUAUUACCUGAACUUGUUUUGAUGACAAUAGUUUCUUUUUCUUCAGCAAAAAUGUGGUCACCAUUUUUAAUCCGAACUUUGGAUAUUUCAGUAAGCUUUAAUUCUUUAAACAAACUCUUGUUAUAAGUCAUCUGGUUGUUGCAACCGCUAUCAAUCAAUCAAAAAUUUGUUGAAACCUUACUUGAGAUAUAUAUUGCAACAAAAAGAUGGUCUUCUUCUUUUUUUUCAUUGACCACAUGUGCAUCUGCUUUAUGAUUCUCAAAUUUUCUUUUGCAAAUCAGUGGCUUCAUGGCCAAGUUGAUUGCAUUUGAUGCAUUUUGCGUCUGGCCUUUUCCAACAUCUAUAUGGUGGAUGAUCCAUUUUUCUACAGUACUAACAAGGUGGGUAAUUUUUUAAAUUUUUACUCAUUCUUUGAGUUUUGUGGUCGGCUAUUAAGCCUCCUUCAACCAUAUCAUCCUGUCUCAUAAAUUUUCUUUGUUCCAGUGCCUGAGCAGAAUUUAACAACUCUACUAAGGUAAUCUUAGACGAAUCUUGUGUAUUUUUCAAGGUAGUUAUACAUGCUUCAUAUCUUUCGGACACUAUAAAAAGAAUUAUUUCAACAAUUCUUGAAUCUUUAAAUUCAGUGCCUAGUAAUCUUACCUUAUUAACAAUGCCAAGUAAUCUGUCAGAGCACUGUUUGACUGUCUCGGUGUCUUUCAUUCUUUGCAACUCAAACUCUCUUAUUAAAUUCACUACUUGCAUUUCUCGAAUUCUUUCAUCUCCAACAUAUUCUUUCUUCAGAUAAUUCCAAAUUUUUUUGGGUGAUAUGAGAGACAUAAUUCUUGUAAAAAUAGUUGUUGAAACAGAAGCAAACAGAGUUACCUUCGCCUUGGACUUUGUGAUUUUUUUGCCUUGUGACUCUUGAUUUGGGCUAUGGUGGGAUUAUUUAGCAGCAGAUUAAUUUCUUAAUCCUCUUUCACAGCUUCCCGCCUCAAGUAAGUUUUCAUUCUCACAGCCUAUAAUUGAUAAUUUUUACUAUCAAAAAUUGAUGGAGCCAUUCAUGGAAAACUAUUUUCAGAAUCUAUCUUUUCACUCACAGGUCCCUCAAGAAAAAUAGCUCUAGAUAUUAAUUGUUGGUUUUAAUAGAGAUGAGUUAGAGAAAAAAACGCAAAGAGUUUUUUUUUUUAUUGUAAAACUAUAUGUUUUGUUGAUCAUCAACUCCUUCUUACAUAGUGCUAUUACAACUAAAAAUAAAUUCAACUUACCAUAAAAAAACCUAUUUGCUACUAAAAAUAACAACUAAUAAGUCUCCUACAACAAAUAGAAAUCCCAAUUUCACUAGGAGUUGUAUGUAAAAUAGCUAGAUAAAAACAAAUAAUGUGCAUUAUUCCUUAAAGCAACUUUUAAAAAUUGCUGGAAGAGAUUUUUCCGGACAACUCCGUAUCAAAAAAACAAUAGAAUAUUAUUUUUCACGACUACCUUCCUAUUUACUAACUGUAUCCUUACACAGAUUGAGUGCCAUGUAAUCUAAAGGUCAUGGGAUCGAGCUUUGGAAACAGCAAAAAUGUAGGGUAAAACUGUGUGCAAUAGUUCCUUGGUCUGAUCCUUACCGUACCUCGCACAUAACAGGAACUUAAUGCACAAGCCAGCCCUUAUCCUUCCACAGGUUCCACGUGCAAGGUCCUAAUUAUCCCAUUUUAUUGUUCUCUUGAUAUGAAGUCUUUUCACUUCCUAUUUUAAUUUAUGUACUUAUUGUUGUACUUCACCAAAUAAAUUCCAUGAAGAAAUUCGUCACUUCAGCAAAUAAAUUUCCUUGAAGAAAUUUGUCAAGUUCUAUAUAUUUCUGUUUUACGCAGUGAUAUAGUCUGGUUCUGUGUCUUCAUUUCGCCAUAACCAAACUAGACAAUUGCACCUUGUUCUACUUAUCACAUUAGAAUUACACUUCUAUCUCGUCAACACCCUGCUAAUUUCAGGCUAUGGGAAGAAUUACGUCGGAGCCCCUAAACUGUGAGCUUCUACACUUGAACAUUUUUAUUUUAUGGGUGACUUGAACCUUCAACUUUUGAAUGGAAUAUAAUUGGCUCUUUCGGCUGUUUUACCGCACUGACCACAUCCAUCAGGUUAGUGCUUUCAGCUUAAACAAAGUUUUUUUAAAGUUAAAGAAUUAAGUGGGUGAUGUUUGAUGGCAAAAUCAAACGGGUUAAGAGAGAUAAUUAUGGUCAGUAAAUUACCUGUAUCUCGUCCGCCAUGUUCAGCUGGGUGGACGUAAAUAUACUAUGUCAAGAAACUGGAACCAAGCUUAACUACCACAGACAGAUUAGAGCCGUUUGGUGCUUUGUUGCAUGUUUGACACCAUUAACAAGUAUCCAGCACUUUCGUUUGAUAUUUUUGAUCUUUUAGCAGUUAUGAAAGAUCUUUUAUAUGCUUUAGUCCUCAUGCUUUUUUAUGUAUAGGCAGCCCGCUGCACAAAAAUAUUCUGCAUUAGCAAGGUUUGCGGGAAGUGUCACAUCCCAUGGGUGUGUGAUGUAUACAGUUUGCUUUUUGUGUGUAGGUUCUUGAUCAAUAGGAGUAAAUUGAUGAGCACCGGGCCGGAAAUCUAAGUUGCGGAGACACUUCACUUUUGGCGCCACACAUGCGUCGACAAGACCUAGGUGUGUGUGUGACAUCCAUACCUAAUAUGGUCGAACAAUUUUGGGUACUUUGAUCAAAAUCGAUAGAAAAAUUCGAGACAGAUGCAAUGAUUUCUGAUUCGAACUUAACAGUAAACAAUGAAAAGAUAAUUGAAGAUUUGAACUUGCUCCCAAAAGAUUGUGCAUUCCUUUCAUUUCAAAUAUUCCACCAUAAUUUAGGCAUAUUUUUAUCUCUUAUUUUUUGAUAUUUGAAUGAUUUUUAGCUGAAUUCCCACUCCCAUAUCCUUACUUAAAUCCGAACCACCAAAUUAUAGAAGGAUUCGCACCUGAGUUCGAGCAACUUGGCAGGGAAGGAAAAAAAGAUGAUGUCUUGGUAGUUCUAUGCUGCACCUUGAAAACGAUCUCUUCUGAUUAUUUUGGAUCUGGUUGUUUCAUGAAACCGAAAAAUUAACAACCAUCCUAAUGACCUCCUUUCUGUCUGCUUUCUUCUUGACAUGUGAUUACUUUUUAUAUGAAGAACAGCUGAUAAAAUAUUUGAAAUCAUGUUUAGCAUCUGGGACAGAUAUACUAAUUUAUGGUUGAAGCAGAAUUGGAAUUUGUCUUUGUCAAGCUAGUGUCUAUGAUGCCUUAUCGUGUUUAAGGAUCAAACUGGACUUGUACAGAAGGUUUACAAGCUUCUUCUCCUUGCUUUUGUGUAUCUCAUCUGCUUGUUAAAAUAUUAAGAAAGAAGACACUUUGAUUUAG
rnacentral:lncRNA from 1 species